rnacentral:lncRNA from 1 species
UCUUUUUUUUUCACCCUUCCUAGAAUCUGACAGGCCACAGAAAUAUCUGAUUUCCAAGAGAUGCUCGCAUUCUAUACUGAUGCCAUCUAGGAGUGUAAAUGCCCAAUAUCAUGCUGCCGAGUGGAGAAAGGGAGGGAGUAGGAUGUUGGGAGAAAGAUGAUUUCCUGCAGUCUUCUAAUUCAGAAGAUGGAGGUUAUCUUCCUACAGUAUUGUUUAUUUGUUUUCUUCUCAAAUGACUGAUUGAAGUUGAGUAUCAACAAUAUAGUGACAUUUUCUGGAAAGUAUGAAGACCACAACGACUCUUUGUUUUCAAAUAUUUUGUUCCAGAAAUUGUGCAAGUCAUGGCCAGCAAGGAGAAUUAUAUGAUGGUGUUCCUCCAAGAGUGAUAAAUUUUGACAGUCAGUUUAGCAGGAAGCACAGUUUUCAUUCCCAUCUCAUGAUCCAAGUACCAAGAAGUUCUCUUCAUAACAUGUAUAAUUUCCAAAAAUUUAAAGCUUGAUUUCCCUACAAAUAAAAAGUGAACAUGUAUCAAAGAUCUAAUUAAUCCACUAAUGAGGAAACCAGUAACUUGGUAAGGCAGAUCCAAAGUAAAUAUGAGAAAACACAAGUAUUUAUUACAGCAGAGGACAGGAUGCUUCAUUUAGAUUGCUAAUUUAGUAUAAAACUGAUUAGUUUCCUAGAGGGCAUUAAAACUAUAAUUUUGCUGAUGUCAUUUGAAUCUCUACCAAAUAAAAUUUAUUU